GAUUGAAGCCAGUCGUACCGGCGGGUAAUCAGCCUUAUGGGUGUGAUUAUGUGGAGCGUGAGGAGCUAAUCACCUUCAUGCCUGCAUAUUCGUGCACUUUGGGUGUACUUGCUCGUGUGGUAGGUUAACAUCAAUUUUGAUCGUCAUAAAAUGGUUGGAGGAACGUAGCUUCGAUCUCGUAUUGAAGUGUUAUAGCCUUUGGCAGAUGUGAUGAUUGGGAUUGAGGAUUGCAACGAACCCUCCGGGGCUACCUGUCUGAAAGUUGCUCUGGUGCUGAAAGCUUGCUUAUGGUAUCAAAGUGACUCAAUAGUUUGGGAUUAGG
rnacentral:rRNA from 1 species